rnacentral:rRNA from 1 species
GACAGAGGGUGCAAACGUUGUUCGGAAUUACUGGGCGUAAAGCGAGUGUAGGCGGUGUGGUAAGUCGGAUGUGAAAGCCCCGGGCUCAACCCGGGAAGUGCACUCGAUACUGCCACGCUAGAGUAUCGGAGAGGUUGGUGGAAUUCUCGGUGUAGAGGUGAAAUUCGUAGAUUUCGAGAGGAACACCGGUGGCGAAGGCGGUUCUCUGGGCAUGUCCUGACGCUGAGGAGCGAAAGUGUGGGGAGCGAACAGG